rnacentral:rRNA from 1 species
GACGAACGCUGGCGGCGUGCCUAAUACAUGCAAGUAGAACGCUGAAGAGAGGAGCUUGCUCUUCUUGGAUGAGUUGCGAACGGGUGAGUAACGCGUAGGUAACCUGCCUUGUAGCGGGGGAUAACUAUUGGAAACGAUAGCUAAUACCGCGUAACAAUGGAUGACACAUGUCAUUUAUUUGAAAGGGGCAAUUGCUCCACUACAAGAUGGACCUGCGUUGUAUUAGCUAGUAGGUGAGGUAACGGCUCACCUAGGCGACGAUACAUAGCCGACCUGAGAGGGUGAUCGGCCACACUGGGACUGAGACACGGCCCAGACUCCUACGGGAGGCAGCAGUAGGGAAUCUUCGGCAAUGGGGGCAACCCUGACCGAGCAACGCCGCGUGAGUGAAGAAGGUUUUCGGAUCGUAAAGCUCUGUUGUAAGUCAAGAACGAGUGUGAGAGUGGAAAGUUCACACUGUGACGGUAGCUUACCAGAAAGGGACGGCUAACUACGU